UGUUUUGAUUCUGCUCAGGACGAACGCUGGCGGCGUGCCUAAUACAUGCAAGUAGAACGCUGAAGGAGGAGCUUGCUCUUCUGGAUGAGUUGCGAACGGGUGAGUAACGCGUAGGUAACCUGCCUGGUAGCGGGGGAUAACUAUUGGAAACGAUAGCUAAUACCGCAUAACAGUAGAUAUCGCAUGAUAUUUGCUUGAAAGGUGCAAUUGCACCACCACCAGAUGGACCUGCGUUGUAUUAGCUAGUUGGUGAGGUAACGGCUCACCAAGGCAACGAUACAUAGCCGACCUGAGAGGGUGAUCGGCCACACUGGGACUGAGACACGGCCCAGACUCCUACGGGAGGCAGCAGUAGGGAAUCUUCGGCAAUGGACGGAAGUCUGACCGAGCAACGCCGCGUGAGUGAAGAAGGUUUUCGGAUCGUAAAGCUCUGUUGUAAGAGAAGAACGAGUGUGAGAGUGGAAAGUUCACACUGUGACGGUAUCUUACCAGAAAGGGACGGCUAACUACGUGCCAGCAGCCGCGGUAAUACGUAGGUCCCGAGCGUUGUCCGGAUUUAUUGGGCGUAAAGCGAGCGCAGGCGGUUAGAUAAGUCUGAAGUUAAAGGCUGUGGCUUAACCAUAGUACGCUUUGGAAACUGUUUAACUUGAGUGCAAGAGGGGAGAGUGGAAUUCCAUGUGUAGCGGUGAAAUGCGUAGAUAUAUGGAGGAACACCGGUGGCGAAAGCGGCUCUCUGGCUUGUAACUGACGCUGAG
rnacentral:rRNA from 1 species